CCUGCUCCCUCCCCAGACGCGAGGGCGAGGGGAGGCCACUCGGCGCGGCCCGCCCGGCUCCUUGCUCCCCGGGGCCACGAUCGCCCGCCGAGGGCUGCGUCUGCCCAGCUCGGGCCGCACCCCGCCGGCCACACGCGCAGGAGCACCCACCUCCGGCCCACAGCGCGGCCACGGGAUCUCCCACCACUUCAGCUCUCCAAGGUAACGGAGCCACUCGGGCCACAGGCCGACUUCCGCUUCCGGCAGGCCAGCGCGGGGGGAGGGGGGGGGGCCGGCCUGCCAAGUCUCGCGAGAUCUCGGGACCGUAGUGCAGGUUUCUCCUGGUUCCUCGAUCUCCCGAGCCCCGCGCGGAGGGCGUCGGGUGUCGCGCCGGAGGUGGCGGUGUCCCGCGUGCGCUUUCGGCCCGCUCUCCCUGGACAGGACACCGCUCAGUGAAGUCGUCAGGGCCCAGCUACCUCCGGGCGCCGUGACCUUUUCUUCUCGGAGGCCCUGAGGUUCCAUCAGUGCCGGGUGUACCAGACGUGACCCGCCCCCGCCCUCGCGACUGGCUUUCGGAACUGUGCGCCCCGCUUCUGUUAGGAUUACCUCCCGUUUCUCCUUGGAAACUUUGACGUCCACAAUUGAUGCCCUUUGCCCCCUGUACUUGCUCCCGUCAGUUGACAGGUGCCAUCGAUUCUACCUCCGCAGUAAUUGUGGCAUCCAGCCACUCUGCGUACACACUGCCUGCACCUCCUCGAGGGUCUCGUCCCCUCAACGGGCAAGUGCAGUACUUUUCCUCUAGCGUCAGUCACUUGCCAACCCUGUAGUCCUUUUCAAGCACAGCUGUGAUCAGAAAUCGUCACGGGCUCCCUGUUGCCUGUAGGUUAAGGACCUAAUUUGUGAACUUGGAUUCAAAACGAACGAUUUUCUGCUGUUCCCCUUUCCUCCUCCCUUGUCGGUGGGAAACCAGACCGUAUGAAUCUCUCCCGACCUCCCUUUACCUUCUAAAGAUUGCUCCUGGCUCUUCCUCCUUAGGAAUACUCUUCUUCCCUAUCUUCGUACACUGUUGAAAUUCUGCCCGUUGUUUAAAGCCACAUAGUGACCUCGCCGUCUAGAAAUAAAUUUUCUUUCUUUGGAAUGUCCAUCAUACUUUCCAAACCAUUCUUCAUGUAUUCAUUCAGUUAUUACCACUUCGUAGUUUCGAAUUAAAACGGGGUGUACAAUUCCUCCCCCUCCUAGACUGUAAACAGACCUCCAUCACUUCUGCAUCCUGGAAUGUGUGACGCUGUGCUUUGUAUAAAGCGAGCACUCCGUAAAUGCAGAACGAAUGUGGAGCUGCCAGCGUUCCAGGCCAUGUUGUAGAAGCACCGACCUAGUAAAAGUGACUAGGACAGCAUGGAUGAGGAGCUCCGAUAGUCAUUACUCGCCUUGGAUAGUAAAGGUGAGAGGGGAAAGAGCAAGGUUGCAAUAAUUGAGUAGUGCUCUCCUUAGUGACCGAGUGGAUGGUGGGGGGAAAGGAUUAUGAGCAACCAGGGAGGACUCCAGUUCUGUAAGCCAAGAAAUCCAGACUGAAUGCCCAUAGGGUGAAUUUUUUUAAUAUAUGUUUAUUUGGGGGAGAGCGCAAGCGGGUGAGGGGGAGUGAGAGGGGGACAUAGGAUCCGAAGUGGGCUCUGCGCUGACAGCAGUGAGCCAGACGUGGGGCUUGAACUCGUGAACAGCGUGUGAUCAUGACCUGAGUUGAAGUCUGACGCUCGACUGACUGAGCCACUCAGGUGCCCCUAGGGUGCGUUGGUUUCAAGGCAAAAAAUGAGCUCAGAUCUCAAACAGAUUUGGAGACUAUGAGAUGGCUGAAGACAGAGAGGUUAUGGCACAGUAUAUAAGUGUGUGAGUCAUCCGUGAAGAAACAACAGUUGAACUCCUCGGUGUAUAUGAUCUUUCCAAAAGAGAAAGUAUUUAUAGAGAAGAGCAGAAGGCCAAGGCCUACGCCUCAGGAAAUACUCCUAUUUAGGAGGCAGGAAUAGGAAAUAUAAACUUGGAAGAAAAGAUGAGAAUAAAUACAUGGUAGCAAUGUCACAGUUGGAAAACUCAGAAAACUGCUUCCCCACCUGGUAUCAGGAGGCAGGGAGGAUAUUUGGGAAAAAGAGGGCUGUUGAGCAGUUGGCUGACUGCCUUCUGACUUUAUUAGGGCAUUACUUCUAGGUAAUGAGGACUCGCACCGGAAAGAGCGUGAUUUCUUUAAUUUCGUAAGCGCUUAGGAGCUCCAAGCUUCUGAGAGUUUCUGGGAAGAACUGUAGAUAAUUCUGACCAAUCUCAAGUGAGACUAUUUCUGCCCAUAAUGUCUUCUUAUAUUCUGUCUGAUAUUUUAUCAGUUUUAUACCUCAUUUUCUGGCAUCAUUGGGGAAUAAUCUGUUCCAUGAAAAGAAAUUUUUCAGAUAACGGACAUUUAGCCUUUAAGCAUUAAAAUGUUUUCUCUGGAACCACUUAAAAAAUUUUUUUUUAUUUUUUUAUUUUUUUUUUUUUAAUUUUUCAGAGAGAGAGAGAGCAUGAGUGUGAGCAGGGGAGGGGCAGAGAAAGAGGGAGACACAGAAUCCUAAGCAGGCUCCAGGCUCUGAGCCAUCAGCACAGAGCCUGUUGCGAGGCUGAAACCCACGAGCUGUGAGAUCAUGACCUGAGCCGAGGUUGGGCGCUUAACCGAUUGAGCCACCCAGGUGCGCCUCACUGGAACCACUUUUGAUAGAAAUGUACAUAAAACGUAGUACUUCUCUGCCAUGAACACAGAAAAUGAGACACGAUUUAAACUACUCUUGGCAACUAAAGCUUACUGUCACAGCAUCCGUUAUGCUCUGCCGGGUAGUAAAGUCCUUGGCCCUGUUGACACAUCUGGAAAAGACUGCCCUAUGUUAGUUGACGUUUUUUUUGUCUCUGUUAUUAGUGUUAUAUCUCAAUGACUUUUCCUCAAACAGCUCUGUAAAUUAACCUCAUUUACCCAUAAUUUUAAGCCUCACGUUGACCCAGUGAUCUGGAGGCAAAAUACACCAGCAGACGUCCCUGGGGAAUCCUGGCAGCUAAAGAGUCCUUCAUUCAGAGGCUACCUGGGGGAAUGUCAGCAUGUUUCCCUGCCCUGACUUUAUCCUCUGCAAAAUGGGAAUAAUAGUCCUCGCUGCUUCUCUUCCUCAUGAGGUUAUGGUAAGAAUUAAUUAACGUAAAUAAAGUGCUUUAGGCUCAAGUGAAGAAAGAUGCUAUGUGGAUGCUAGUGACAAUUAGUUAUUAUAUGUUACCUAAAUGUUUAAGCUCCAAGAAAACAUUUCAGGUUAUAUGAGGCAUCGGUUCAGAUUCACAUCUGUAGCCCUGUGGCUUUAAUUACACAGAAUUGUUCUGAUCAGAGAUGACAAGAUCCUAAUGCAGUUCUGCCCCUCAGUGUCCCCCCUCCCAUGUGAAAAGUCCUUUGUGUAGGGGACUUUUUCUGUGGGGGGUAGGGAGCGAGCCAAUGUUUGUUUGCUACCUGAGUUUUAAAAUAUUUUACAAAUUUUUUUUAAUGUUUAUUUAUUUUUGAGUGAGAGAGAGACAGAGAAUGAAUGGAGAGGGGCAGAGAGAGAGACAUGCAGAAUCUGAAGCAGGUUCCAGGCUCCGAGCUGACAGCACAGAGCCUGAUGUGGGGCUCGAACCCAUGAAUCAUGAGACCUGAGCCAAAGUUGGAUGCUUAACUGAUCGAGUGACCCAGGCGCCCCUUAAAAUAUUUUUUUAAUGUUUAUUUGUGUAUUCUGAGAGAGAGGGAGGGACAGUGGAAGAGAGAGAAUCCCAAGCAGGCUCCGUGCUGUCAGCACAGAGCCCGGUGUGGGCUCUAUCUUACAAGUCGUGAGAUUAUGACCUGGCCUGAAUGUUGCUUGACAUUCAACCAACCGAGUUUUACUACUGCCCCUAGAAGCCAGUUGGUAUCAUUGAAGAAAUCACAGAAGGGGGAAAGACCGGCAAUCUGGGGGAAGAAGAGGCUGUGAAUUGGGCUUAAUAGGUUGGGAGCACAGUCUCUUCCCGUUCUAAGAUCUGUGAUUGCGACGUGAAGGGUUUCUCCUCUCCUUUUCCUAAUGCCUGUUACGGAAGCAAGAGCACAGGCUGUGUUUUUCUAAGUGGAGGUGAUUGGUAUUCCAGUUGAGCAGUAUCUGCCUGAUUUUACUCCAUCUGGCGGGGCCCGUGCAAGACCCCGUGAUGGCUCUCGUCUCUAGCGUCCUUCCUUUGCUUUUCCUGGCUGCUUUCUCUGCCUGCCCCCUUGGCCAGCUCUCCUGACCUGCUUCAGUGUCAUGUUCCCAUCCACCUCUUCAUCAGACAUGCAUGUUACGCUCCGAAGGGCAAUGUACAGGGAGGCCAAGAGACCUGACCAGAAUUUACUCUCAACCACUCCUUCCCCCACGCCUCCAUAUGCUCUUCUCCAGGUAGUUUCCCAGAAUCUCUUUCACCGAGGUGAAAAUCGCAGUUCUAAGCCCCUGGGAGUGGCACGAGUAAGUCAGGAUCCUUAGCUGAGGGUCAACUUCUGCUGUCUUCCCCAUUUUCAGAAGGUCUCCAUCCAGGGUCUUGACAAGCUUCUUGUCUUUGAUGACAAGGCGGCCUGUUCUGCCCUCAUAUGAAGCCAGCCUUGUCUAGUGAUCUUUCAGAAGAAAGGUCCAGGGGCGCCUAGGUGGCUCAGUCAGUUAAGCAUCCAACUCUCGAUUUCAGCUCAGGUCACGAUUUCACGGUGUAUGAGUUCGAGGUCCAUGUCAGGCUCUGCACUGACUGUGCAGAACCUGCUUGGGAUUCUCUGCCCCUCCCCCAAGUGACCACGUUUUCUCUCUCCCUCUCUCUCUCUCUUUCUCAAAAAAUAC